rnacentral:rRNA from 1 species
UCCGUAGGUGAACCUGCGGAAGGAUCAUUACCGAGUGAGGGCCCUCUGGGUCCAACCUCCCACCCGUGUUUAUUUUACCUUGUUGCUUCGGCGGGCCCGCCUUAACUGGCCGCCGGGGGGCUUACGCCCCCGGGCCCGCGCCCGCGGAAGACACCCUCGAACUCUGUCUGAAGAUUGUAGUCUGAGUGAAAAUAUAAAUUAUUUAAAACUUUCAACAACGGAUCUCUUGGUUCCGGCAUCGAUGAAGAACGCAGCGAAAUGCGAUACGUAAUGUGAAUUGCAAAUUCAGUGAAUCAUCGAGUCUUUGAACGCACAUUGCGCCCCCUGGUAUUCCGGGGGGCAUGCCUGUCCGAGCGUCAUUUCUGCCCUCAAGCACGGCUUGUGUGUUGGGCCCCGUCCUCCGAUCCCGGGGGACGGGCCCGAAAGGCAGCGGCGGCACCGCGUCCGGUCCUCGAGCGUAUGGGGCUUUGUCACCCGCUCUGUAGGCCCGGCCGGCGCUUGCCGAUCAACCCAAAUUUUUAUCCAGGUUGACCUCGGAUCAGGUAG